rnacentral:rRNA from 1 species
UACGAAGGGGGCUAGCGUUGUUCGGAUUUACUGGGCGUAAAGCGCGCGUAGGCGGAUCAGUAAGUUGGGGGUGAAAUCCCGGGGCUCAACCCCGGAAUGGCCUUCAAAACUCCUGGUCUUGAGUUCGAGAGAGGUGAGUGGAAUUCCGAGUGUAGAGGUGAAAUUCGUAGAUAUUCGGAGGAACACCAGUGGCGAAGGCGGCUCACUGGCUCGACACUGACGCUGAGGUGCGAAAGCGUGGGGAGCAAACAGG